rnacentral:rRNA from 1 species
GGGGGGGGGCAAGCGUUGUUCGGAAUUACUGGGGCGUAAAGGGCGCGCAGGCGGCCUGGCCAGUCCUACGUGAAAUCCCACAGCUCAACUGUGGAAUUGCGUGGGAUACUGCCAGGCUUGAGUCCGGGAGAGGAGAGUGGAAUUCCCAGUGUAGCGGUGAAAUGCGUAGAUAUUGGGAGGAACACCGGUGGCGAAGGCGGCUCUCUGGACCGGCACUGACGCUGAGGCGCGAAAGCUAGGGGAGCAAACGGGAUUAGAUACCCCGGUAGUCCUAGCCCUAAACGAUGAGCACUUGGUGUGGCGGGUAUCGACCCCUGCCGUGCCGAAGCUAACGCAUUAAGUGCUCCGCCUGGGGAGUACGGUCGCAAGGCUG